AUUAAAGUUGUUGCAGUUAAAAAGCUCGUAGUCGGAUUUUGGCAUCACGCCGCACUGUCUGCCGAUUGGUAAGUACGGUUUGGCGGGUGCUUCCUUCCGGUGCUGCGUUCUGCUCUUAGUUGAGCGGUUCGUUGGUUCCGGUUCUUUUACUUUGAGAAAAUUAGAGUGUUCAAAGCAGGCCUAUGCUCUGAAUAGGUUAGCAUGGAAUAAUAGAAUAGGACUUUGGUUCUAUUUUGUUGGUUUCUAGGACCGAAGUAAUGAUAAAUAGGGACAGUUGGGGGCAUUCAUAUUCCAUUGUCAGAGGUGAAAUUCUUGGAUUAACGGAAGAUGAACUUCUGCGAAAGCAUCUGCCAAGGAUGUUUUCAUUGAUCAAGAACGAAAGUUAGGGGAUCGAAGACGAUCAGAUACCGUCGUAGUCUUAACCAUAAACUAUGCCGACUAGGGAUGUGGAGGCGUUAACUUUGUACGACCCUCCAUGCACCUUAUGAGAAAUCAAAGUCUAUGGGUUCCGGGGGGAGUAUGGUCGCAAGGCUGAAACUUAAAGGAA
rnacentral:rRNA from 1 species